UACACUCCUGCGGGAGGCAGCAGUGGGGAAUAUUGGCCAAUGGGGGCAACCCUGAUCCAGCCAUGCCGCGUGAGUGAUGAAGGCCCUAGGGUUGUAAAGCUCUUUUGUGCGGGAAGAUAAUGACGGUACCGCAAGAAUAAGCCCCGGCUAACUUCGUGCCAGCAGCCGCGGUAAUACGAAGGGGGCUAGCGUUGCUCGGAAUCACUGGGCGUAAAGGGUGCGUAGGCGGGUCUUUAAGUCAGGGGUGAAAUCCUGGAGCUCAACUCCAGAACUGCCUUUGAUACUGAGGAUCUUGAGUCCGGAAGAGGUGAGUGGAACUGCGAGUGUAGAGGUGAAAUUCGUAGAUAUUCGCAAGAACACCAGUGGCGAAGGCGGCUCACUGGUCCGGUACUGACGCUGAGGCACGAAAGCGUGGGGAGCAAACAGGAUUAGAAACCCCGGUAGUCCC
rnacentral:rRNA from 1 species